rnacentral:rRNA from 1 species
GACGGAGGGGGCAAGCGUUGUUCGGAAUUAUUGGGCGUAAAGGGCUCGUAGGCGGUCCGGUGUGUCUGGCGUGAAAUCUCCACUGCUUAACAGGGAGGGGCCGCUGGAAACUGCCGAUCUUGAGUAUGGUAGAGGACCAUGGAAUUCCGGGUGUAGCGGUGGAAUGCGUAGAUAUCCGGAAGAACACCGGUGGCGAAGGCGGUGGUCUGGACCAAAACUGACGCUGAGGAGCGAAAGCCAGGGGAGCAAACGGG